GCCUGAGUAGCUCAGUUGGCAGAGCAGCUGAUUUGUAAUCAGCAGGUCGUGAGUUCGAGUCUCUCCUCAGGCUCCA
rnacentral:tRNA from 1 species